rnacentral:rRNA from 1 species
GGACGGNNANNAGNAUGGAACGACUGCUAAUACCGGAUGUGCCGAGAGGUAAAAGGCUUGCUGCCUGAAGAUGAGCUCGCGUCUGAUUAGCUAGUUGGUGUGGUAAGAGCGCACCAAGGCGACGAUCAGUAGCUGGUCUGAGAGGAUGAUCAGCCACACUGGGACUGAGACACGGCCCAGACUCCUACGGGAGGCAGCAGUGGGGAAUUUUCCGCAAUGGGCGAAAGCCUGACGGAGCAAUACCGCGUGAGGGAGGAAGGCUCUUGGGUUGUAAACCUCUUUUCUCAAGGAAUAACAAAAUGAAGGUACUUGAGGAAUAAGCAUCGGCUAACUCCGUGCCAGCAGCCGCGGUAAUACGGAGGAUGCAAGCGUUAUCCGGAAUGAUUGGGCGUAAAGGGUCCGCAGGUGGCAGUGUAAGUCUGCUGUCAAAGAAUGAGGCUCAACCUCAUCAAGGCAGUGGAAACUACAUAGCUAGAGUACGGUCGGGGUAGAAGGAAUUCCUGGUGUAGCGGUGAAAUGCGUAGAGAUCAGGAAGAACACCGGUGGCGAAAGCGUUCUGCUAGGCCUGUACUGACACUGAGGGACGAAAGCUAGGGGAGCGAAUGGGAUUAGAUACCCCNNNAAGUCAANGA